AGGUAGUGACAAUAAAUCACAAUGCGGGACUAUCAGUCUUGCAAUUGGAUUGAGAACAAUGUACAACUCUUAUCGAUAAGCCAUUGGAGGGCAAGUCUGGUGCCAGCAGCCGCGGUAAUUCCAGCUCCAAUAGCGUAUAUUAACGUUGUUGCAGUUAAAAAGCUCGUAGUUGAAGUGUGGGUGGUGCCAUCUGUGAAGCUUCGGCUUCUAGGAUACUCACUACCCCCUUCCAGUAUCCAGUAGUGGGUAUUCAGUUACUUACUACUGUGUGUUGGUCGUUUACUGUGAGAAAAUUAGAGUGUUCAAAGCAGGCGUUUGCUUGAAUAGAUUAGCAUGGAAUAAUAAUUGAAGGCUUUCGUGUUCGAUUUGAUUGGUUUGUUCAUGGAAGCAAGGUUAAAAGGAACAGUUGGGGGUAUUCAUAUUCACUAGUUAGAGGUGAAAUUCUCGGAUUUAUGGAAGAUGAACAAGUGCGAAA
rnacentral:rRNA from 1 species